GUGCCAGCAGCCGCGGUAAGACGAACCGAGCGAACGUUGUUCGGAAUCACUGGGCUUAAAGGGCGCGUAGGCGGGUGCGUUUGUCCGGGGUGAAAGCCCCCCGCUCAACGGGGGAAGGGCCCCGGAGACGGCGCACCUCGAGGGGGGUAGGGGCGUGCGGAACGCCCGGUGGAGCGGUGAAAUGCGUUGAUAUCGGGCGGAACUCCGGCGGCGAAAGCGGCGCGCUGGACCCCUUCUGACGCUGAGGCGCGAAAGCCAGGGGAGCGAACGGGAUUAGAUACCCCGGUAGUCC
rnacentral:rRNA from 1 species